GAAAAAGCUGAAAAUUCCACAUGAUUUAUUUAAUAAAAAUAAACUUAAAGACCGAUUGGAUGAUAUAUUUAUUUAUAAAAGGAGAAGAGUUUUUAAAUCGGCGUCGUAACUUAAGGUGGCGAAAGAUCCAGUCGAUGAGAGUUAUAUCGCAGUUACAACUUGAGAUUGAUGGAAAGGAAGGAUUCUGCAGAUUCUACGGUAGGACUCGCCGCAGCCGGCCGGCGAUGGCGUGAGAAAAGCCCGGCCUAGUCGAAAACGUGACGAGAAGCGGAGGAGCUCAAUGCCGAAAUCGACCAAGUCGUCGAGGACGGCGAAAUCGCCCAAGUCCGCGGUUUCCCGUCCUUCGAAGAAGAAAAGGCACAGAGGAGACACGGAUGAGACCGAGUCGAGCUCUUCGUCGUGUGAAUCUUCGGUGAGGCACCCAGCCGAAGUCCGGCAGCCGGUCAGAAAAGGGGCAGCAUUCUGCAAACGACUCUGCAUGUGCUGCUGCUUUGUCCUCGUCCUCCUAGGAUUCAUGUAUGCUACCAUUUUCUUACUCGUUCAUUAUAAAAUAAUAAUCGUCUUGCAAAAAUAAGCAACUUGCGCAAUAAUAAAACUGCUUGUUUUUAAUAAAAAAAACAUC